GACGAACGCUGGCGGCGUGCUUAACACAUGCAAGUCGAACGGAAAGGCCCUGCUUGCAGGGUACUCGAGUGGCGAACGGGUGAGUAACACGUGGGUGAUCUGCCCUGCACUUCGGGAUAAGCCUGGGAAACUGGGUCUAAUACCGGAUAGGAGCCAUUUUUAGUGUGAUGGUUGGAAAGUUUUUUCGGUGUAGGAUGAGCUCGCGGCCUAUCAGCUUGUUGGUGGGGUAAUGGCCUACCAAGGCGGCGACGGGUAGCCGGCCUGAGAGGGUGGACGGCCACAUUGGGACUGAGAUACGGCCCAGACUCCUACGGGAGGCAGCAGUGGGGAAUAUUGCACAAUGGGCGCAAGCCUGAUGCAGCGACGCCGCGUGGGGGACGACGGCCUUCGGGUUGUAAACUCCUUUCGCUAGGGACGAAGCUUUUGUGACGGUACCUAGAUAAGAAGCACCGGCUAACUACGUGCCAGCAGCCGCGGUAAUACGUAGGGUGCGAGCGUUGUCCGGAAUUACUGGGCGUAAAGGGCUCGUAGGUGGUUUGUCGCGUCGUCUGUGAAAUUCCGGGGCUUAACUCCGGGCGUGCAGGCGAUACGGGCAUAACUUGAGUACUGUAGGGGUAACUGGAAUUCCUGGUGUAGCGGUGAAAUGCGCAGAUAUCAGGAGGAACACCGAUGGCGAAGGCAGGUUACUGGGCAGUUACUGACGCUGAGGAGCGAAAG
rnacentral:rRNA from 1 species